rnacentral:rRNA from 1 species
GGGAAUCUUCCACAAUGGACGCAAGUCUGAUGGAGCAACGCCGCGUGAGUGAAGAAGGUUUUCGGACCGUAAAGCUCUGUUGUUGGUGAAGAAGGAUAGAGGUAGUAACUGGCCUUUAUUUGACGGUAAUCAACCAGAAAGUCACGGCUAACUACGUGCCAGCAGCCGCGGUAAUCGUAGGUGGCAAGCGUUGUCCGGAUUUAUUGGGCGUAAAGCGAGCGCAGGCGGAAGAAUAAGUCUGAUGUGAAAGCCCUCGGCUUAACCGAGGAAUUGCAUCGGAAACUGUUUUCUUGAGUGCAGAAGAGGAGAGUAGAACUCCAUGUGUAGCGGUGGAAUGCGUAGAUAUAUGGAAGAAUACCAGUGGCGAAGGCGGCUCUCUGGUCUGCAACUGACGCUGAGGCUCGAAAGCAUGGGUAGCGAACAGGAUUAGAUACCCUGGUAGUCCAUGCCGUAAACGAUGAGUGCUAAGUGUUGGGAGGCUUCCGCCUCUCAGUGCUGCAGCUAACGCAUUAAGCACUCCGCCUGGGGGAGUACGACCGCAAGGUUGAAAC